UCCGCUCCAUAGCGUAUAUUAAAGUUGUUGCAGUUAAAAAGCUCGUAGUUGAAUUUCGGGACCAAUUUGUUGGUCGUGCCUCGGUACGUACUGGUAUUAUUGGUUUCUCCCUUCUGAAGAACCUCGAUGCCAUUAAUUUGGUGUCGUGGGGAAUCAGGACUGUUACUUUGAAAAAAUUAGAGUGUUUAAAGCAGGCAUACGCUUGAAUACAUUAGCAUGGAAUAAUGAAAUAGGACGUUUGAUUCUAUUUUGUUGGUUUCUAGGAUCGACGUAAUGAUUAAUAGGGAUAGUUGGGGGCAUUAGUAUUCAAUUGUCAGAGGUGAAAUUCUUGGAUUUAUUGAAGACUAACUACUGCGAAAGCAUUUGCCAAGGAUGUUUUCAUUAAUCAAGAACGAAAGUUAGGGGAUCGAAGACGAUCAGAUACCGUCGUAGUCCUAACCAUAAACUAUGCCGACUAGGGAUCGGAUGAUGUUAAUUUUUUAAUGACUCAUUCGGCACCUUACGGGAAACA
rnacentral:rRNA from 1 species